rnacentral:rRNA from 1 species
UACAGAGGUCCCAAGCGUUGUUCGGAUUCACUGGGCGUAAAGGGUGCGUAGGCGGUCGGGUAAGUCUGAUGUGAAAUCUCACAGCUUAACUGUGAAACUGCAUUGGAUACUAUUCGGCUUGAGAGUUGGAGGGGGGACUGGAAUUCUUGGUGUAGCAGUGAAAUGCGUAGAUAUCAAGAGGAACGCCAGUGGCGAAGGCGAGUCCCUGGACAACUUCUGACGCUGAGGCACGAAAGCUAGGGGAGCAAACAGG